rnacentral:rRNA from 1 species
AGACAGCCAGGAGGUUUGCCUAGAAGCAGCCACCCUUUAAAGAGUGCGUAAUAGCUCACUGAUCGAGCGCCCUUGCGCUGAAGAUGAACGGGGCUAAGCGAUCUGCCGAAGCUGUGGGAUGUCAAAAUGCAUCGGUAGGGGAGCGUUCCGCCUUAGAGGGAAGCAACCGCGAAAGCGGGGGUCGACGAAGCGGAAGCGAGAAUGUCGGCUUGAGUAACGAAAACAUUGGUGAGAAUCCAAUGCCCCGAAAACCCAAGGUUUCCUCCG